AGCGAACGCUGGCGGCAGGCUUAACACAUGCAAGUCGAGCGGGCACUUUCGGGUGUCAGCGGCGGACGGGUGAGUAACGCGUGGGAACGUGCCCUCUGGUUCGGAAUAGCUCAGGGAAACUUGAGCUAAUACCGGAUACGCCCUUUUGGGGAAAGGCUUGCUGCCGGAGGAUCGGCCCGCGUCUGAUUAGCUAGUUGGUGAGGUAACGGCUCACCAAGGCGACGAUCAGUAGCUGGUCUGAGAGGAUGAUCAGCCACACUGGGACUGAGACACGGCCCAGACCCCUACGGGAGGCAGCAGUGGGGAAUAUUGGACAAUGGGCGCAAGCCUGAUCCAGCCAUGCCGCGUGAGUGAUGAAGGCCUUAGGGUUGUAAAGCUCUUUUAUCCGGGACGAUAAUGACGGUACCGGAGGAAUAAGCCCCGGCUAACUUCGUG
rnacentral:rRNA from 1 species